CACGUGCUACAAUGGCCGGUACAAUGAGCUGCGAUACCGCAAGGUGGAGCGAAUCUCAAAAAGCCGGUCUCAGUUCGGAUUGGGGUCUGCAACUCGACCCCAUGAAGUCGGAGUCGCUAGUAAUCGCAGAUCAGCAUUGCUGCGGUGAAUACGUUCCCGGGCCUUGUACACACCGCCCGUCACGUCACGAAAGUCGGUAACACCCGAAGCCGGUGGCCCAACCCC
rnacentral:rRNA from 1 species